GACGAACGCUGGCGGCGUGCCUAAUACAUGCAAGUAGAACGCUGAAGGAGGAGCUUGCUUCUCUGGAUGAGUUGCGAACGGGUGAGUAACGCGUAGGUAACCUGCCUGGUAGCGGGGGAUAACUAUUGGAAACGAUAGCUAAUACCGCAUAAUAGCAGUUGUUGCAUGAUAACUGUUUGAAAGGUGCAAUUGCACCACUACCAGAUGGACCUGCGUUGUAUUAGCUAGUUGGUGGGGUAACGGCUCACCAAGGCGACGAUACAUAGCCGACCUGAGAGGGUGAUCGGCCACACUGGGACUGAGACACGGCCCAGACUCCUACGGGAGGCAGCAGUAGGGAAUCUUCGGCAAUGGACGGAAGUCUGACCGAGCAACGCCGCGUGAGUGAAGAAGGGUUUCGGAUCGUAAAGCUCUGUUGUAAGAGAAGAACGAGUGUGAGAGUGGAAAGUUCACACUGUGACGGUAGCUUACCAGAAAGAGACGGCUAACUACGUG
rnacentral:rRNA from 1 species